rnacentral:rRNA from 1 species
UAAUACGUAGGGUGCGAGCGUUAUCCGGAAUUAUUGGGCGUAAAGAGCUCGUAGGCGGUUUGUCGCGUCUGCUGUGAAAGCCCAGGGCUUAACCCUGGGUUUGCAGUGGGUACGGGCAGGCUGGAGUGCAGUAGGGGAGACUGGAAUUCCUGGUGUAGCGGUGAAAUGCGCAGAUAUCAGGAGGAACACCGAUGGCGAAGGCAGGUCUCUGGGCUGUUACUGACGCUGAGGAGCGAAAGCAUGGGGAGCGAACAGG